AUGGGCCGCGGCGGUGCGUGCGGCGUCGCCUCACUCUUCUUGGCGGUGGCAGUGGCGGCGGCGGCCUGCUGCGCGGCGGCGGCGCAGGAGCCCAACACGGACGCCUACUUCGUCGCGCGCUUCUACGCCAAGAUGGGCCUCGCGGCGCCGCCGUCGGGCGCCGGCGCGGUGUGCUCCUGGCCCGGGGUGUCGUGCGACGGCGAGGGGCGGGUGCUGGCGUUCGCCGCCGCCGGGAUGGGCCUGUCGGGCCCCAUCCCGGAGGACACGGUGGGGAAGCUCGCCAGGCUGCGCUCGCUGGAUCUCAGCGCCAACCGCCUCACCGCGCUCCCCAACGACCUCUGGGAGCUGGGCGCCUCGCUGCGGACCCUCAACCUCUCCCGCAACGCCAUCAGCGGCGCGCUCCCCAACAACGUCGGCAACUUCGCGCGCCUCCAGGUGCUCGACGUCUCCCACAACGCCUUCUCCGGCGCGCUGCCGCCGGCGCUCGGCUCCAUUACCGGCCUGCAGGUCCUCAACGCCAGCCACAACCAGUUCCAAGGCCAGGUCCCUAGCGCCGGGGGGAGCCUCGUCUCCAUGGAUCUCUCCGGCAAUGCGCUGGACGGCGACCUGCCUGAACUGUCGCCGCUGCGGUCGCUGGCCUACCUCAACCUGUCCGGCAACCAGCUCCGCGGCUCCAUUAUCGGGGCGUUCCAGGAGCAGUUGAGGGUCAUAGACCUUAGCAACAACCGCUUCUCGCGGUUGAAUUUUAGCAGUGGGUAUUCUGGUACGUCCCUCAUGUACCUCGACCUGUCAAGUAACGAGCUUCUCGGGGAAUUCGGCCUCCCUGGCCGGUUCCGGAACCUGAGGCACAUGAAUCUUGCAUUCAACCAGUUGUCCACGAACAAUUUGCUGGCGUCCAUUGGUGAGAUUUCUUCAUUGGAGUAUGUCAAUCUGUCAAGCACUGGGUUGCAUGAGCGAAUCCCUGGGGUGUUGGCUUCCCGGUUGGUUGGCUUACAUGUGCUGGAUUUGUCACGGAACAAUGUCAGCGGGGUAGUGCCGGACAUGAGCGCUUUGCCGCUGCGGGUGCUGGACCUGUCGGUGAACAACCUCACUGGGGAAAUCCCCGUGUCACUGGUCAAGAAAUUGGUGUCAAUGGAUCGAUUCAACUUCUCAUACAACAAUCUCACCGUCUGCGCCUCCGAGCUCUCCCCGGAGGCGUUUGCAGCCGCAUUUGCUAGGUCCAGGAAUGACUGCCCGAUUGCUGUAAACCCGGACAGCAUCAAGAAAAAUGGGGGGCACCGCAAGGGGAUGAAGUUGGCGCUGGCCAUUGUGCUCACGCUCUUCUUCUCGGUUCUUGCAUUGCUUUGCUUGGCACUUGUGUGCAGGAAGCCGAGGAAGAAGAGGGGUGACACAUUUCCCGUUGAUAAGCAGCCAUCGUCAUUCAAAGACGAGCCUGGGACAUCAGGGCCAUUUGCGUUCCAGACUGAUUCCACAACUUGGGUUGCCGAUGUCAAGGUUGCCACAUCCGUUCCAGUUGUCAUAUUUGAGAAGCCAUUGCUGAGCUUCACCUUCGCCGACCUCUUGGCAGCCACAUCAAACUUUGACAGGGGAACUUUGCUGGCAGAUGGGAGAUUUGGGCCAGUGUACACAGGGUUCCUCCCUGGUGGAAUUCAGGUUGCUGUGAAGGUGUUGGUCCAUGGUUCGGCAAUGGCAGAUGAGGAUGCAGCGAGAGAGCUUGAGCGGCUGGGACGGAUCAAACAUUCUAACCUGGUUCCUUUGACCGGCUACUGCUUAGCAGGAGGCCAAAGAAUCGCGAUAUAUGAGUACAUGGAGAAUGGCAAUUUGCACAACUUGCUGCAUGAUUUGCCACUAGGCUUGCAGACCACUGAAGACUGGAGCACCGACACAUGGGAGGACAACAAUGGUGGCGUGGCCACUGAAAACAUCACCCCAGAGGGCACUGCUGCAUGGAGGUUCCGACACAAAAUCGCACUAGGCGCUGCAAGGGCACUGGCGUUCCUCCACCAUGGUUGCAUUCCGCAGAUCGUCCACCGGGAUGUGAAGGCAAGCAGCAUCUACUUUGACUAUGCAAUGGAGCCAAGGUUGUCUGAUUUCGGCUUGUCAAUGAUCGCCGGGACUAGCACAGACGGCGACCAUUCCCCUGGCUAUGUGCCGCCGGAGUUCUCCGACCCAGAGAACGCCACGGCGACAUCGAAGUCCGACGUUUACAGCUUCGGCAUCGUGCUGUUUGAGUUGAUCACCGGCAAGAAGCCGCUGGGUGAUGAGUACCCUGACCAGAAGGAGGCAAGCCUGGUGAGCUGGGCAAGGGCAAUGGUGAAGGCAAACCAAGGGUCGAGCAUCAUCGACCCCAAGAUCCGCGACACGGGACUGGAGAGGCAGAUGGAUGAGGCACUGAGGGUCGCCUACCUCUGCACCGCCGAGCUGCCAUCCAAGAGGCCAACCAUGCAACAGAUCGUUGGCCUAUUAAAGGACAUUGAGCCUAGAGUAGCAGAUGAGAACUGA
rnacentral:rRNA from 1 species